rnacentral:tRNA from 1 species
GCCUGGGUGGCUCAGUCGGUUGAGCGUCCGACUUCGGCUCAGGUCAUGAUCUCACGGUUCGUGGGUUUGAGCCCCACGUCGGGCU